UAUUUUGUUGAUUUUCUGUUAGUGUCAUCCUUUGCUUGUAGUUUGGGUUUCUUAUAGCUUCAGAGGAUUCUGCACUUAUGAAGGUUUUGGUAUGCUUGUAAGUUUUAAAUCUUUUGUGUGAAAUGUAAUUCAUCCACAUUGUGAUCAUACCAGCACUAGUAUACCGGAUCGAAACAAAAAUGUAAUUUAUCCUUGUGAAAAUUUUAUGCAUGUCUGAGAUUCAUGGACUGUUAUUCAGCUAAUUCCUAGACUGUAGGAUAAUUUGAUUAUUGAUCUUGCUGAAAUCCAUAAUCACCUUUCAGUUCUUCAUAAAAUCUAGACACCUUUUUCUCCCUUCUUUAUCAAAAAUUUACUAACUGUUUGGUAUCAUUGUUGAUUUUGUGGCUUUGUUUCUCUACAUAUUAGUGAAAUACCACAUGCAGCUUGAUGGUGAAGAUAGCACUUGCAAAAAUUAUGCUACUCGCUUUUAUUUCCGCUCUCUUUUUUUUAAAGCAAUAAAUCGUAGCUGCCAAAAGCUCUAAAGAUUUUACAAAAAACUUAGAAAAAAAAGCAUUUCAUUGCACUUGUUGUUCAGUCUAGUCCACAUUUCUUUUUUUUUUUGAAAAAGAAAAUGCCAAGCAAGCCCUGAAUUUUUGCUUUUGGUUCUCAAGGUAAGCCUACAUCCAGCAUUGAUCUGUGUUCUCCACCCUGCUCUCCCCUCCCAAACCCCACUUAAACUAUUGGGUUUCAUAACCACCUUGUUUCUUUUGCAACUUGCCUUUUUUUCCAAUUAAUUUAGAGUUGUUGGAGAUAUGAGCAAAAGAAUUGAUGAGCUGUUUCAGCGACAUGGCAGUCUUGCAUAUAAACCUCAUGUUAUGCACAUGCAUAUAAUGAAACUAGAAUAGGUGAUUUCUUCAACCUUUCCUAAGAUAGAUAGGUUCUAAACAUGGAAAUGAGGAUUAAUACUUUUGCAUUAUGGUUGGUUUUGAUAAAUGAUCAGUUGACGAUUUUGUACUAUCAAUUGAUUAUGUUCUCAUUUCAAAUUCCAACUCAUUACAAACCAUUUUGCAACUUGACUUUGGAUAGUUGUGAUAAUUCUUGAUUUUUUUUUGUAGCGGUCUCUCUCUCUCUCUUAUAUCACAAUCCAGUGCACUGCUGUAUAUACUACUAUAUGCAGUUCACUUUGGUGAAUCAUUUAUCUUGUGAUAAGACAUUCUUUCAGUUGCAAAAUAAAAUUUGUUUUUCAUUUAAAGUUCAGUAUUCUGUCAAUUUUCCUAAGCGAUGCAAAAAAUGUUAUAUGGCUUCUCACUCUUUCAGUCCGCAAUUCUAUCCGAAAAAAGUUUUAUGAAUCCAAAAUUCUGAUUUAUACCUAAGGAAGAUGUAAUAUUAAAUACUGGUAUCCUCCUUAGGUAUCAAACAUUUAAUUAUGACAAAGAUGAGGCCUUUCGCUGUGGUUUCUUCCAUCUGAUAUCUGCUGUUAAGUGUUAAGGCAUCAAUAUCAUCAGGGAAUAAGUCCAAUAUUGCUUGGUUGCAGUUUGAGUUUUCACUGAAGGGACAUUAUCUGCCUCAAGUCUGUUGCUUGUGACUUCCAUUUUGAAAGGGGAAAAUUUCAAAAUAGCUCAAACGGAACACUUUGUAUUCCCAUGUUGUAUAUUUAUUUUAUUUAGUCUGAUAUUGUAUAUACCUUUGAGAUUUGUCUAGUGAUGCGUCUGUACAACUACCAGUCCAAGUUCAGGUACUAUACACUUGCUUUGGUUGUUUUAUGAAGUGUUUCGUAGCUUCGAAUUUAGUAAGGAGAAAUAAUUCUUGUGGGAGCUUAUAUUUGGUUUGACUAGUUAUUCUUUCUUAGAGUGACUUGUAACACUUGAUAUACCAUGUAUUUUAGAAUCGGUGAGCUUUA